UACGUAGGGUGCGAGCGUUAAUCGGAAUUACUGGGCGUAAAGCGUGCGUAGACGGUUAUGUAAGUCAGAUGUGAAAGCCCCGGGCUUAACCUGGGAAUGGCAUUUGAGACUGCAUAGCUAGGGUGCGGAAGAGGGAAGCGGAAUUUCCGGUGUAGCGGUGAAAUGCGUAGAUAUCGGAAGGAACACCAGUGGCGAAAGCGGCUUCCUGGUCCAGCACCGACGUUCAGGCACGAAAGCGUGGGGAGCAAACAGG
rnacentral:rRNA from 1 species